rnacentral:rRNA from 1 species
ACGCGUGGAACCUUACCAGGUCUUGACAUCCUCUGACACUCCUAGAGAUAGGACGUUCCCCUUCGGGGGACAGAGUGACAGGUGGUGCAUGGUUGUCGUCAGCUCGUGUCGUGAGAUGUUGGGUUAAGUCCCGCAACGAGCGCAACCCUUGAUCUUAGUUGCCAGCAUUAAGUUGGGCACUCUAAGGUGACUGCCGGUGACAAACCGGAGGAAGGUGGGGAUGACGUCAAAUCAUCAUGCCCCUUAUGACCUGGGCUACACACGUGCUACAAUGGAUGGUACAAAGGGCAGCAAAACCGCGAGGUCGAGCAAAUCCCAUAAAACCAUUCUCAGUUCGGAUUGUAGGCUGCAACUCGCCUGCAUGAAGCUGGAAUCGCUAGUAAUCGCGGAUCAGCAUGCCGCGGUGAAUACGUUCCCGGGCCUUGCACUCACCGCCCGU